AUGGUUGGGGGAGGAGGGGGAGGGGCGCUGCGGCGGGUGGGCAAGUACGAGGUGGGGCGGACCAUCGGGGAGGGGACGUUCGCCAAGGUCAAGUUCGCGCAGAACACGGAGACAGGGGAGAGCGUCGCCAUGAAGGUGCUCGAUCGCUCCUCCAUCCUCAAGCACAAGAUGGUGGAUCAGAUCAAGAGAGAGAUAUCCAUAAUGAAGCUUGUGAGGCAUCCCAAUGUGGUCAGAUUACAUGAGGUUUUGGCGAGCCGAAAGAAGAUAUUUAUAAUCUUGGAGUUCAUCACUGGUGGUGAACUAUUUGACAAAAUUAUUCGUCAUGGGAGACUCAGUGAAGCGGAUGCACGUAAAUACUUUCAGCAGCUUAUUGAUGGUGUUGAUUUUUGCCACAGCAAAGGAGUCUACCAUCGAGAUCUAAAGCCUGAAAAUCUUCUCCUUGAUUCCCAAGGAAAUCUUAAAAUUUCAGACUUUGGACUCAGUGCAUGGCCUGCACAGGGAGCUGCCCUUCUACGUACUACCUGUGGAACCCCAAACUAUGUUGCCCCAGAGGUUCUUAGUCAUAAAGGAUAUGAUGGAGCACUUGCUGAUACAUGGUCAUGUGGAGUUAUUCUAUAUGUCCUGUUGGCAGGUUAUCUUCCCUUCGAUGAAGUAGAUUUGACUACCCUUUAUGGGAAGAUUGAGAGCGCAGAAUAUUCAUUCCCAGCUGUGUUUCCAAGUGGUGCUAAGUCACUGAUACGCAGAAUUCUGGAUCCUAGCCCAGAUACACGAAUCAGGAUAAAAGAGAUCAGAAAGGAUGAAUGGUUUAAGAAAAAUUAUGAACCUGCCAGGGAAGUAGAAAAUGAAGAAGUAAAUCUCGAUGAUGUUAAUGCAGCUUUUGAUGAUCCUGAGGAGGACAAUGAACAUACUUUUGACGAUGAAGCAGGCCCUUUGACGCUCAAUGCAUUCGAUCUAAUUAUUCUAUCUCAAGGGUUGAACCUUUCGGCCCUAUUUGAUCGCCGACAGGACUAUGGCAAGCUUCAAAAUAGAUUUUUAUCACGCAAACCAGCAAAUGUUAUAUUGUCAAGUAUGGAGGUUGUUGCUCAAUCCAUGGGGUUGAAGACACAUAUUCGCAAUUAUAAGAUGAGGGUGGAAGGUCCAAAUGCGAACAAGACUAGCCAUCUCACAAUUAUGCUUCAAAUUUUUGAAGUUGCCCCAUCAAUCUUUAUGGUGGAACUAGAGAGAUCUGCUGGAGAAACUUCAGAGUAUAAUAAGUUCGUAAACAACUACUGCUCCAAAUUAGAUGAUAUCAUCUGGAAAGUUUCUGCUGAGAAGGGAAAAUCUAGGACAUCCCGGCUAUCGAAGCGCUAA
rnacentral:rRNA from 1 species